rnacentral:tRNA from 3 species
AGCGAGGUAGGCCAGCCUGGUAGGCCGCAGGGCUCAUAACCCUGAGGUCCCUGGUUCAAAUCCAGGCCUCGCUACCA